rnacentral:rRNA from 1 species
CGGAGGGUGCAAGCGUUAUCCGGAUUCACUGGGUUUAAAGGGUGCGUAGGCGGAUAGGUAAGUCCGUGGUGAAAUCCUGCAGCUUAACUGCAGAACUGCCAUGGAUACUCUCUAUCUUGAAUGUCGUGGAGGUUAGCAGAAUAUGUCAUGUAGCGGUGAAAUGCUUAGAUAUGACAUAGAAUACCCAUUGCGAAGGCAGUUAACUACGCGAUAAUUGACGCUGAUGCACGAAAGCGUGGGGAUCAAACAGGAUUAGAUACCCUGGUAGUCCACGCCCUAAACGAUGAUUACUCGACAUUGGCGAUACACAGUCAGUGUCUGAGCGAAAGCAUUAAGUAAUCCACCUGGGAAGUACGAUCGCAAGAUUG